rnacentral:rRNA from 1 species
UACAGAGGCCUCGAGCGUUAGGCGGAAUCACUGGGCUUAAAGCGUGUGUAAGCGGACUUCUAAGUACCUUGUGAAAUCCCACGGCUCACCCGUGGAACUGCUCGGUAUACUGGUCGUCUUGAGCCUUCUAGGGGCGAGUGGAACAAAUGGUGGAGCGGUGAAAUGCGUAGAUAUCAUUUGGAACGCCAAUGGUGAAAACAACUCGCUGGGGAAGUGCUGACGCUGAGACACGAAAGCCAGGGGAGCGAACGGG